AACGAACGCUGGCGGCGCGCUUAACACAUGCAAGUCGAACGAACGGACGGGCUUCGGCCCGCGAGUGAGUGGCGCACGGGUGAGUAACGCGUGGGGGAUCUGCCCUGAGGUCUGGGACAACCGCUGGAAACGGCGGCUAAUACCGGAUGAUGCCCCUUCGGGGGCCAAAGAUUUAUCGCCUUGGGAUGAGCCCGCGUCCGAUUAGCUAGUUGGUGAGGUAACGGCUCACCAAGGCACCGAUCGGUAGCUGGUCUGAGAGGACGAUCAGCCACACUGGGACUGAGACACGGCCCAG
rnacentral:rRNA from 1 species